ACGCUCGACACCUACGAGGCAGCAGUGGGGAAUAUUGCACAAUGGGGGAAACCCUGAUGCAGCGACGCCGCGUGGAGGAAGAAGGUCUUCGGAUUGUAAACUCCUGUUGUUGGGGAAAAAGAGGAUGGUACCCAACAAGGAAGUGACGGCUAACUACGUGCCGGCAGCCGCGGUAAUCUGAGCGGGCUGGCAAGGC
rnacentral:rRNA from 1 species